GAUGAACGCUGGCGGCGUGCCUAAUACAUGCAAGUCGAGCGAACGGACGAGAAGCUUGCUUCUCUGAUGUUAGCGGCGGACGGGUGAGUAACACGUGGAUAACCUACCUAUAAGACUGGGAUAACUUCGGGAAACCGGAGCUAAUACCGGAUAAUAUUUUGAACCGCAUGGUUCAAAAGUGAAAGACGGUCUUGCUGUCACUUAUAGAUGGAUCCGCGCUGCAUUAGCUAGUUGGUAAGGUAACGGCUUACCAAGGCAACGAUGCAUAGCCGACCUGAGAGGGGAAUCGGCCACACUGGAACGGGGACACGGUCCAAAACCCUACGGGGGGCAGCAGUAGGGAAUCUCCCGCAAGGGGCGAAAGCCUGAGGGGGCAACGCGGCGUGAGUGACGAAGGUCUUCGGAUCGUAAAACUCUUUUAUUAGGGAAAAAAAUAUGUGUAAGUAACUGGGCACAUUUUGACGGUACCUAAUCAGAAAGCCACGGCUAACUACGU
rnacentral:rRNA from 1 species